UGGGGAAUUUUGGACAAUGGGCGCAAGCCUGAUCCAGCCAUGCCGCGUGAGUGAAGAAGGCCUUCGGGUUGUAAAGCUCUUUCGGCGGGGACGAAACGGUUCGUGACAACACCACGGACUAAUGACAGUACUCGCAGAAGAAGCACCGGCUAACUACGUGCCAGCAGCCGCGGUAAUACGUAGGGUGCAGGCGUUAAUCGGAAUUACUGGGCGUAAAGCGUGCGCAGGCGGCUCCUUAAGUCAGAUGUGAAAUCCCCGGGCUUAACCUGGGAACUGCGUUUGAAACUGGGGAGCUAGAGUGUGGAAGAGGGGGGUGGAAUUCCAGGUGUAGCAGUGAAAUGCGUAGAGAUCUGGAGGAACACCGAUGGCGAAGGCAGCCCCCUGGGCUAACACUGACGCUCAUGCACGAAAGCGUGGGGAGCAAACAGGAUUAGAUACCCUCGUAGUCCCUGAGCGGGCUGGCAAGGCGCAU
rnacentral:rRNA from 1 species